UUCCAGUGAUGAGUUGCCAUGCUAAUACUGAUGCAACAGCCAGAUCCCUCUGGGAAAUGUGCUGGGGGCAAAUGAGUUUAACAAAGUUCUCAUUUGAACUCUGAGGCUA